rnacentral:rRNA from 1 species
GACGAACGCUGGCGGCGUGCUUAACACAUGCAAGUCGAACGGAAAGGCCCUGCUUUUGUGGGGUGCUCGAGUGGCGAACGGGUGAGUAACACGUGAGUAACCUGCCCUUGACUUUGGGAUAACUUCAGGAAACUGGGGCUAAUACCGGAUAGGAGCUCCUGCUGCAUGGUGGGGGUUGGAAAGUUUCGGCGGUUGGGGAUGGACUCGCGGCUUAUCAGCUUGUUGGUGGGGUAGUGGCUUACCAAGGCUUUGACGGGUAGCCGGCCUGAGAGGGUGACCGGGCACAUUGGGACUGAGAUACGGCCCAGACUCCUACGGGAGGCAGCAGGGGGGAAUAUUGCACAAUGGGCGGAAGCCUGAUGCAGCAACGCCGCGUGCGGGAUGCUGGCCUUCGGGUUUUAAACCGCUUUCGCCGGUGCUGAAGCGUGAGUGACGGUAAUGGGUAAAGAAGCACCGGCUAACUACGUG